rnacentral:rRNA from 1 species
GACGAACGCUGGCGGCGUGCUUAAUACAUGCAAGUCGAACGGAAAGGCCCUGCUCUUGUGGCGUGCUCGAGUGGCGAACGGGUGAGUAACACGUGAGUAACCUGCCCUUGACUUUGGGAUAACUUCAGGAAACUCGGGCUCAUACCGGAUAGGAGCUACUGCAGCAUGGUGGGGGUUGGAAAGUUUCGGCUGUUGGGGAUGGACUCGCUGGUUACGAGCUUGUUGGUGGGGUAGUGGCGUACAAAGGCUUUGACGGGUAGGCGGCCUGAGAGGGUGACCGGCCACAUGGGGACUGAGGGACGGCCCAGAAUCCUACGGGCGGCAGCAGUGGGGAAUAUUGCGCAAUGGGGCGGAGCCUGAUGCAGCAAUGCCGCGUUCGGGAUGACGGGCUUUUGGGUGUAAACCGCUUUCGACUGUGACGAAGCGGUAGUGACGGUAAUGAGUAAAAAAGCACCGGCUAACUACGUG